rnacentral:rRNA from 1 species
CAUUCGGAUUGAAGUCUGAAUUCGACUUCAUGAAGCUGGAAUUGCUGUAAUGGCAGGUCAGCAUACUGCCGUGAAUACGUUCCCGGGCCUUGUACACACCGCCCGUCACACCAUGAGAGUUGGGAAUACCCGAAGCCUGUGAGCUAACUUUUAGAGGCAGCAGUCGAAGGUAGAAUCAAUGAUUGGGGUGAAGUCGUAACAAGGUAAC